AUACGGAGGGGGUUAGCGUUGUUCGGAAUUACUGGGCGUAAAGCGCACGUAGGCGGAUUGGAAAGUUGGGGGUGAAAUCCCAGGGCUCAACCCUGGAACUGCCUCCAAAACUAACAGUCUAGAGUUCGAGAGAGGUGAGUGGAAUUCCAAGUGUAGAGGUGAAAUUCGUAGAUAUUUGGAGGAACACCAGUGGCGAAGGCGGCUCACUGGCUCGAUACUGACGCUGAGGUGCGAAAGCGUAGGGAGCAAACAGGAUUAGAUACCCUAGUAGUCC
rnacentral:rRNA from 1 species